rnacentral:lncRNA from 10 species
CACCAGUAAGGUUUUCUGAAGCUUUCUUUCCACCAGGGAAGACUGCAAAGGCCAGAGAUCAUUUUCACAACUAAAGGUCGUCAUCUGGGCAAAUGAACCACUCUGACUUGGAGAUUAGGGGCUCAGACAGCCGUGGAUGAGAGUCCAGCUCUACUACUUAUUAGCCUUGAUUAGGUGAGUAUUACCCUGUAUUUCCUUAUCAGAAGGCCUAGGGGCUAACUGCCUCCUUCCAGUAUGUGCAGGAUUUACCUGUGAUCAAAUCCUGGCUCUGCCAUUUGCUAAGUGUAUGACUUGUGGGCAAGUGAUUUGACUUCUCUGGGCCUCAGUUGCCUCAUCUGUAAAAUGAAGAUAAUGGUAAUGAUGAUAGUAUAUAUGUCAAAGGGCUAUUGGGAGGAUGAAGUCAGUUCAUAUAUGUAAAGCCCUCAACACAACACCUGGCAUAGUGGAAAUAUUAUAGAAGUGUCUGUGAUUACUAGUAUCUGGACACCAAUACUCCAUGUAACUAUAAUGCUUUAUAAAUGUUCUGUAUGAAUCAUAAAGCUAUAAAGUUCCAUAAAUGCUCUUUCAUCUUGGCACAUGGAUAUCCCUCACCCAAUUAAGCUUCUUCACCACAGAUAACUGCUCCCUGCACCCGCCUUAUUACCAUUGGUAUUAAGGAACUCUGGACCCACAGUGACUUUCCAAAACUUUGACCCCUCUGCCAGGACCUUCUCGACAUCCACCUCUAAUUCUCAGAAGGAGACCUUACUUCCUACAUCUGUGAGAAAACUGAGGACUGCACAUGUGAACCACCUUAACCUUCUGCCCCACCCCCCCCCAUUCAUUCCUUGACUCAUUUAACAAAUAUUUUUUCAACACCUGUUAUGUAACAAGCUCUAUGCGAGGUGCUGGGGAUGAAAUAAAUAACAAACACGCUCUACAUUCAUGAGGCUUACUGUCUGGUGAUGGAUAAAGCUGUAUAAAGAUGACUAAUAAGAGGUCUAACUAUCUUCAUGCUGCAAAACAACCCAAACUACUGCAUGCUCCAGUUGACUGUCACUGCCGAGACCAGCUUCUGAGUAAUUUCAGCCCAGGCAUCAGACUAGUGAGGGAAGGAGCUUCCAGGUGAUACCACCUCCCAGCCAUAGGUUCUGAUAAUCUCCCCAUACCUAGCAUCCUUAAAAUAAUCUUCCUUUUCCCUUUUUGACUUCUGGUCACUUGGAUUGCUGUUACUUGCAAUCAAAGAAUUCUAACACAGCUAUGGUUCUAAUUAAUUCUAACUAAUAGAGCUAAUACACUAAUAAUUCUACCUAGUACAGCUAUGUGUGCUGAGAUGCCCUGGGGCACUACGUUGCAUUGGCAGGGGUGCUUUGUUAUGUUUGUCUUUUAUUUGGUUCAAGUUAUUUUGUUGUCUUUGAACAGACUGUGAGAGGGAUGGGAAAGACUGGUGCUUGGGGUGGCCAUCUGACCCCUGAUGGACAGGAGACCAGGACAAGCCCACUGGAUGAGCCGGAGGGGUCCAGGAGGAGGGAGUUGAGAGCUCCUGCUAGGGUUGACACAUUCUGGUAAGGAGUUCAUCUGCUGUCCACCAGGUAGGUGGUGUGCAAAUACAACUAAGCAUUCAUGUUUAAGGUUUUUUUUUAAUUUUUUAUUUUUCGAGGCAGAGUCUCCAUUGCCCAGGCUGGAGUGCAAUGGCGCCAUCUCGGCUCACUACAACCCCUGCCUCCCAGAUUAAAGUGCUUAUCCUCCCUCAGCCUCCUGAGUAGCUGGAAUUACAGUCGUGCCUCCACGCCCAGCUAAUUUUUGUAUUUUUAGUAGAGACGGGGUUUCACCAUGUUGGCCAGGCUGGUCUCAAACUCCUGACCUCAGGUGAUUCACCCGCCUUGGCCUCCCAAAGUGCUGGGAUUACAGGCAUGAACCACUGCGCCCGGACUUAUGUUUAAGGUUAUUUAAAAAGCAAAGCAAAAUCCUAACCAUGUUGAAUUUUUGAAUCUGCAGCAGAUUCAAAUUAAUGAAUUUAAAUCAUAUAUCAGGUAAAAUACUACCUUGACAUAUUUUGUGAUCAUACUGAGAGAAAAUUAAUAUAAAGCUAAUUCAAAAUUUUUUAAUUUGUAAAUCAAAAGAUUAAACCUUGUUAAAAUUUACAAAGAAUAUGCCACUAUAAGAAGAAGUAGCUCAACUUUAUUUCAGUAAAAUCACCAACAAAACAAUAAAAAGCCAAAACUAAAAA